rnacentral:rRNA from 1 species
UAAGGUAGCAUAAUAACUUGUCCUCUAAUUAAGGAAUAGAAUGAAUGGGUAGACGUGGGGAAAACUGUCUCUUAGUUACUGUACUGAAUUUAAUCUCCAGGUGAAAAAGCCUUGAUAAGUAAAAAAGACAAGAAGACCCUAUCGAAUUUUAAUAACUUCCUUUCUAAUGGGGGAGGUGCUUAUUUUGGUUGGGGCAACCGGGAAGUAAAAAAAACCUUUCUUUUUUUUUACCUUGAUAAAGAAUGACCCAAUCAAUAUUGGAGUCAGAUUAAUUACCGUAGGGAUAACAGCACUAUUUUCUUUUGAAGUCCGUAUUUGAAAGAAAGUUUGUGACCUCGAUGUUGGAUUAGGGUAACUCUCUGGUGCAGGAGCUAGAGUUGUUARACUGUUCGUCUAUUAAACCCCUACAU